UCUCGUCUGCCAGCACUCAGCCUAUCAGGCAUUACACAAGUUAAAUAACACUGGAAUCCCUGCUUCUGACACUUCUGUUUAUCUCUGCCAUUUGUGUACAAUACAUCUGCGUUUUUGUCCACGACUAAGAUAAACAACUUCACGUUGCACUGAUUUAAAGGGGCAAUCACCAUAAAACCAAAGGAAUGUGCACCAUCAGGAAUGAAUGACGUUUUGGUAUACAUGUUUAUUUUAAGAACAUAAGGACUGGGUCUCGAAAAGGGGAAAUUCCAUGAAAACAUACAAAUAUGUGACUAUGGAGACCACGAGGAAUUUUAAUGGGGAAGGAGCCAAGAUUUUCCACAUGUACACGCCCUCAUCUCAUGCAACAAACCCUCCUACAAAAGACAGGAUGGACCUAUUGAAAAACUAAAAACCCUGCCUUUGUUUUGUAGUAAACUCUAGAUACAAUAACCUGUUUUGCUUGAACGGUGUUUGAAAACACCUGGCAAUAAUGUGUGUGGAUUUAAUUUACAUUCUCUGAAUUAAAUAUGCACACCUGCCUAAGUGAUGCAUUUCCUGGAGCUGCACAUACAGUACUGUGCAAAUGUCAACCGUGCCACCAUUAGAUGUGUUAUUUUGCAAUGUUAUAGUAACAAUAUUUCUCACUCUCUUUAUUGAAAUACAACCAGAACAUACUGGAAUUUUUAUGCAGUAUUAAGCUUAAGUGUGGCAGUCUCCAAUCUUUUUGUGAGCAAUGAAUGAAACAGGAGACCUACAUUUUUGUUGUUGAUUUCAUUUUAUUCUACUUGUUGUUUAAAAUGUUGCCAAGCUAAUAUAAUUAAAAUAAGUAAAAAAAUAAAUAUUAAAAUUGAGGCUAAAAUGUGCUUUGGUUGGCAACUCACAGACUCCGUGCGGCCUGGUGCCCAGAAGCACCAUGUUGAAGACCACUGGUAGUGUGAUCUCCCCUUACAUUUGAGCAAUAACAGGAACCUGGAGGAUACCUUAAACCUAAAUAAAAAUAAAAUUCUAAUCUAAUUUAAUUACUUCAAUUAGUAAUUCUCAAAAUUACUCAAAAGAGUUCAAGGUGUGCUUGGUACUAAGAGAGGU